rnacentral:lncRNA from 1 species
AAGAGAUAAAACCUAAGUUGAGAUUUGUAAUCAGCGAAUCAGGCAAGUAUCCUACCUUUGCAUUUUCUUUAUGCAAUGGACAUGAGUAAGAAGUUUCAGAAUUAUUCUAUUCCUGUACAGAUUAUGUACGCUUUGAUUAUCAACAUGUUAGCUCAGAUAUAUAUUCUGUUAAGUUGAUUUCUAAAUGGUUAUACAAGUGUCCCCACUUGGAUAAUCAUGGCAUUUAUUCACAUGUUGAUAUACCUUUGUCAAUUACCCGUAUAUAUAUAUGUUGAAUUACAUAUUAUUGUUGAGCAAGAUUAAAAACCUUCGGGUUUGGAACCAGGCAUGUAUGAACAUCCCUAUAUGGGAAGAUUUUUGCGCAAGGCGGAUAGAGUGAGCGAUGAAUUUCGUUCAAGUUAUGUAGUAUUGAUCAAUACAGGGUACAACGGGGCUGAUCACCCUCCGUGCCCGUAAGUUAUGACGGUUUGAGGAUAGAAUUCCGCUAAACCUUUUCGAAAAUGAAAAGAAUGUUCAUAGUAUGUUUCUUAAACCCUAUUCAAGGGUAGAGCCAGAGCCAAAUUUAAAGAAUUUGAAAGAGAGUUGUUAUGUGAAUUUUUUAUCAGUACAGAUUACUUCACAACUUUCGAUUCGUUGUAGAAGUGUUAUGUAAAGAGAAUACUUAUAUUCUUUCAGCUUAUAUAUAUAAUUGCUAUUACUUGCUGGGCACUCAAAUGCUCAUCCUUGCUUAAACUAAAUGUUUUCAGUUACGUACGAUCGACCUGAAGGCUCAGGCACGAACAAGGGAAAAGAAAAGCUAUUCGAAUGAGAUUUAGUAUGAGUUAAUGGUUAUAGUUAGUAAGACAAUGGAAUCUAUUGUCAGGUAUUGUAAGGAAUGUAUUUGAAGGUCACGUACCUGGGGAAGUAAACUUUGAUGUAUGUAAAUUAAGUUUGAAUGUAUUAUUAUUUAGUAUUAUUCAGCUUAAAGAAAUGGUAUCGUGGAGAACCGAGUUCGGGUUUCAAGUACCUGGAUUUGGGGUCGCCACAGUAGCUCUUCGGGCCACCGACCCUUUAAUUCAUCCAACUUUCUUUUUAUCCCAUUGUGCAGGGUUCGGUUGGUCACUUUUACUUGACCGUUCGAUUGAGGAUGAGCGACUGAAGUCUUGCGGUGCUGAACUCCCAACUCUUUCAGAAAGCCUUCGAACUUUAACCCCACAAAUUGUCUGCCAUUAUCAGAGACCACUGCCAUCGGAAUACCGAAACGAUAAACGACUCCUUUGAAAAAUUUCAGGCAUUCUUGUUCGGUGAUCUUCUGCAGUGGUUUGGCUUCGACCCAUUUCGUCAUAUAGUCGAUAGCCAUGAUUACAAAACUAACUUGUCCCUUGGCCUUCGGCAGAGGCCCUAGGAUGUCGAUUCCCCAUACAACAAAGGGAAUCGGGGACAAGACCGAAUAUAACUCUUUAGGAGGUUGAUGUGGGAUAGUGUUGUUCAGCUGACACUUGGGACACCUUCUGUCGAAUUCCUUGGCCUCCGUGUAGAUAGUCGACCAGUAAUACCCCUGCCUCAAAAUCUUAUGCGCCGGCGACUUGGCCCCCAUGUGAUCCCCACAGAUCCCUUCAUGUACUUCCCGAAGUGUAUAGUCUGCUUCCGACGGAGUUAAGCAUUUGAGAAGGGGAGAACUGAAAGCCCUUUGGUACAAAUCCCCGUCAAUGUGAACGAAGUUUGAGCUUCGGUGCUUGAUUUUUCUUGCUAAAAUUCGGUCCGAAGGUAGGGUCCCGUCUGCCAAGUAGGAGAUAUAAGGUGUGAGCCAACAGUCAAGUCGGUCCAAAGGUAGUACAUCUGUCUUCGGUACACUAGGUCGUUCUAAGACCUCCAGAUACACUGAUCCGUUGAAGGAGCUUGCUUCGGUGGUUGCCAAUCUGGCUAGGGCGUCUGCUACCGUAUUAUCUGACCGAUCAACUCCCUUACAGCUGUGCGAUGUGAAGUAUGUGAGCUUAUCUUUCACUUCGAACAGAUACUUUGACAUUCUUGCCCCCCGAGCCUCAUACUCUCCUGAUAACUGUUUAACUACCAAUUGUGAGUCACUGUAGAUAACUAUCUUUUGUACUUCCAAGCUUCGGGCCAACCGAAGUCCGGCUAGUAUAGCCUCGUAUUCUGCUUCGUUGUUUGUGGCCUUGAACUGAAAUCGAAUCGCCUGUUGGACCUUGAAGCUUUUGGGACUCGUUAGAAUGACUCCUGCACCGCUGACGUCCGAAGUCGAUGACCCAUCCACGUAUAAAGUCCACGAGGUCGGUCCCUGUUGAGUUUCGACCACUGUAUUUACAUCUGGUUCCGUGAAAGAGCAUUCCACGAUGAAGUCUGCUAAUGUCUGACCCUUGAUUGCCGUUCGGGGAUGAUAUUCUAUAGCAAAUUGCGUUAACUCCAUCGCCCAUGCUGCUAGCCGACCCGAUACAUCCGGUUUAUGCAAUAUUUUCUUUAACGGCUGAUCCGUAUACACCACCACCAUCCGACCUUGAAAGUAGUGUCGAAGCUUCCUGCUUGCAAUGAUCAGGGCAUACGCAAAUUUCUCCAGGUUCGGGUACCUUGUUUCUGCAUCUCGAAGAACAUGGCUGACGUAGUAUAUCGGGAACUGUUUUCCUCCUUUGUCUCUCACCAAUGUCGCCCCUACUGCCAUCGGGCUUGUAGCCAAGUAUAAGUAUAAAGGCUUCGAAGGGAUCGGUUUCAUCAAUAAUGGUGCUGAGGACAGAUAUUUUUUGAUCCCUUAGAACGCGUCUUCGCAUUCCGAUGUCCAUUGAAAACUCUUCUCGUUCUUUGGCCCUUUGAGAGUGUCAAAGAAGGGCAAACAUCUUUCGGUUGAUCUUGACACGAAUCUCCGAAGGGCAGAUAUCCGGCCCGUUAACCUCUGCACAUCUUUGAAUGUCGUCGGAGAUUUCAUGUCUAGGAUCGUCGCAAUUUUCUCUGGGUUUGCUUCGAUGCCCCUUUUGCUGACCAAAUAUCCCAGAAAUUUUCCUGACCCUAAUCCGAAAGUGCACUUGGUCAGGUUUAACCGCAGCUUGUGUUUUCUUACCGUUUCGAAGCAAUCUUCUAGGUCCUCCAGAUGACCCCGGACUGACAUACUUUUUACAAUCAUGUCGUCCACGUAUACCUCCAUGCUUCGGCCCAGCUUCCUUCUGAAUACAAAGUUCAUCAUCCAUUGGUAAGUUGCCCCAGCAUUGAGUAAUCCGAAGGUCAUCUUCCGAUACGCAUAUAUGGCCCGAUGAGUGAUGAAGCUUGUCUUCGGGAUAUCUUCCUAAUUCAUCGAAAUUUGGUGGUAUCCCGAGAAAGCGUCCAUGAAGCUCAACAUGUCGUACCCCGAUGUGGCAUCAAUCAACUGAUCUAUGUUAGGCAAAGGGUAGAAAUCCUUUGGGCAAACCUUGUUCAGAUCAGUGUAAUCAAUGCAUAACCUCCACUUUCCAUUAUGUUUCUGAACCAGUACUACAUUUGUCAGCCACUCGGGAUAGUCGAUCUCGAAGAUGAAUCCCG